GAUGAACGCUGGCGGCGUGCCUAAUACAUGCAAGUCGAGCGAACGGACGAGAAGCUUGCUUUUCUGAUGUUAGCGGCGGACGGGUGAGUAACACGUGGAUAACCUACCUAUAAGACUGGGAUAACUUCGGGAAACCGGAGCUAAUACCGGAUAAUAUUUUGAACCGCAUGGUUCAAAAGUGAAAGACGGUCUUGCUGUCACUUAUAGAUGGAUCCGCGCUGCAUUAGCUAGUUGGUAAGGUAACGGCUUACCAAGGCAACGAUGCAUAGCCGACCUGAGAGGGUGAUCGGCCACACUGGAACUGAGACACGGUCCAGACUCCUACGGGAGGCAGCAGUAGGGAAUCUUCCGCAAUGGGCGAAAGCCUGACGGAGCAACGCCGCGUGAGUGGUGAAGGUCUUCGGAUCGUAAAACUCUGUUAUUAGGGAAGAACAUAUGUGUAAGUAACUGUGCACAUCUUGACGGUACCUAAUCAGAAAGCCACGGCUAACUACGUGCCAGCAGCCGCGGUAAUACGUAGGUGGCAAGCGUUAUCCGGAAUUAUUGGGCGUAAAGCGCGCGUAGGCGGUUUUUUAAGUCUGAUGUGAAAGCCCACGGCUCAACCGUGGAGGGUCAUUGGAAACUGGAAAACUUGAGUGCAGAAGAGGAAAGUGGAAUUCCAUGUGUAGCGGUGAAAUGCGCAGAGAUAUGGAGGAACACCAGUGGCGAAGGCGACUUUCUGGUCUGUAACUGACGCUGACGUGCGAAAGCGUGGGGAUCAAACAGGAUUAGAUACCCUGGUAGUCCACGCCGUAAACGAUGAGUGCUAAGUGUUAGGGGGUUUCCGCCCCUUAGUGCUGCAGCUAACGCAUUAAGCACUCCGCCUGGGGAGUACGACCGCAAGGUUGAAACUCAAAGGAAUUGACGGGGACCCGCACAAGCGGUGGAGCAUGUGGUUUAAUUCGAAGCAACGCGAAGAACCUUACCAAAUCUUGACAUCCUUUGACAACUCUAGAGAUAGAGCCUUCCCCUUCGGGGGACAAAGUGACAGGUGGUGCAUGGUUGUCGUCAGCUCGUGUCGUGAGAUGUUGGGUUAAGUCCCGCAACGAGCGCAACCCUUAAGCUUAGUUGCCAUCAUUAAGUUGGGCACUCUAAGUUGACUGCCGGUGACAAACCGGAGGAAGGUGGGGAUGACGUCAAAUCAUCAUGCCCCUUAUGAUUUGGGCUACACACGUGCUACAAUGGACAAUACAAAGGGCAGCGAAACCGCGAGGUCAAGCAAAUCCCAUAAAGUUGUUCUCAGUUCGGAUUGUAGUCUGCAACUCGACUACAUGAAGCUGGAAUCGCUAGUAAUCGUAGAUCAGCAUGCUACGGUGAAUACGUUCCCGGGUCU
rnacentral:rRNA from 1 species